UAUGAUACAUCUAUAUCUAUUAUUUGUGCGAACAAUGAGAAGCACUUAAAUUAACUGUUUGCUAAUUAUUUCGCCCUAAAUAAUAAAAAAUUAGAAACAUGAAAAAGUAAACAAGCAGUUUAUAUACUAAGAACUUACAUACACAAUUUUCUACUCUAAGGCUGUCUUAGUCCUUUUUCAGGACUUGUUCAUAUUCCUAGUUGUGAUUAUCGCAAGUUGCUCUUUGAUGGCUCAAGCUUACUUAUAUGCGGAAGCUUUGUUCUACAUGGUCUUACAAACAAAUCUACCCUAAUAGGACUCAACCAAGAACACUAUCAUCUAUAUUCUUUGUAAACCUUUUCAUUACAAUCAACAAACCUAACAUUUGAAUCAAUUAUACUAACUAUUGAGGGAUUCCCGAUUUCUACU
rnacentral:lncRNA from 1 species